UCUGAGGCCAGGACCCUGCACUCCCGCGCGCGCAACUCGCGCAACUCGGAAAAAUGGGCCGUGCCGGGGGCGCGCGGCGGGCGCUUUGGCGGCUCGGUCCCAGCGCACGUGGCACGGCCGGCGCGGGCUGAAAGCGCGGCCGCCGCCCCAGCCGCCGGCGCUAGGACCCGGCGCGCCGCGCGCACUUCCUCCCGCCGCGGUCCCAGCCGCCGCCGCGGCGCCCCCGCCGCCCGCCCGGCCGCCCGCGCCGCCGCCCUACCUGGCGAAGCAGUACUCGCAGUGGUUGCCCCGCUCGUUGACCGUGAGCACAUGGGUGUUACAUGUACAUGAAAGAAUUUUUUCCAAACCUUAGGAGUUCUGAUUACAUGCCUUCUUAGAUAAAUCUUGGAUAAGUUUUUGGGCCCUCCAGUUUUUUUUUUAACAUUCUGAUCCUGUGGGGCUCCUGCCAACACAAAGAUGAAAAAGGCUGGCAUAAAAUGACUUUUUUUUUCUUUCAUGGGGAAAGAUUUCCAAUGACUGAGAAAAACAAUAGCCUGGCUACUGAGCUGUCUUUCCAGAAUGGCUGCACCAGCUUGCAUUCCCACCAACAAUGCAAAAGAGAUCCUCUUUCUCCGGAUCCUCGCCAACAGCUAUAAUUGCCUGAGUUGUUCAUGUUAGCCAUUCUGACAGAGACAGAGCGUGAGCAGGGGAGGGGCAGAGAGAGAGGCAGACACAGAAUCCGAAGCAGGAUCCAGACUCUGAGCCGUCAGCACAGAGCCCGACGCGGGGCUCGAACCCACGAACUGUGAGAUCAUGACCUGAGCUGAAGUCAGAUGCUUAACCGACGGAGCCACCCAGGCGCCCCUGUUACCCUGUGUCUUUUGAUUGGAGCAUUGAUUCCAUUGACAUUUAGAACACUGAUGCCUCUCAGCGUCAUUUAAUACACCAGACUACUAUGGAACAAGAAACAGAAGGCUGCAUGCAAUUGAAACUAUCAUUUCUUUAAAGGCAUCUAAAAAAUUCAUUUCUGGUCUUACCACAAUUCAUUAUUUUUGGAAAAGAGACAAGGCAUCUUUGAUGACAGUGUUAAUAACAUUACUGUUUUAAACAAACAUUUACCGAUGUAGUUUUAUGGAAUCCCAUAAAUGACUUAUUUAUGUUACAUAGAGUACUAAGGAAACAACUAUGGAAAAACAUUAUAAGAUCACUGAUUUUAUUGCUCUAUAAGCAAUGUACAUUAACUUUUUGAAACUUCGAAAACACAUAAACCCAGAGAUUACUAGUGUAAAGUUUUUAUUGUAGUCAUUCAACACCUUUCUUUAGGAACAUAGAAAUCUUUUACAAUAAAAAUUGGAUUAUAUUGUACAUGCUGUUUUAUAACCUGCAUUUUUCAUCCUAAAAAUAUGUUGUAAAUCUAUUUCCAUAGCAUUAAAUGUUUUUCUACAUCAUUUUAAUGACUUCAUACUGUGAUAUUUUAUAAUGUACUAUCAUCUAAUUAACAAGUUCCUUGUUAGGUACUGUUUUUUUGUUGUUGUUGUUUUUCCCAUUGUUGAAAUGAACAUCUUUGCUAAAUUAAAUCUUUUUUUACAUUCUUGAGUAAUUCAUUGGGCUAGAUUCUAAAAGUAGACUCGUCGGGUUAAGUGUACACAAACUUAUAAAACUUUUCAUAUAUAGCAUGGAACUGACAUAAAAAUGUGUGCUUAUUUAUUUGCUUAAUUUAUUACAAUAUUUACAGUCCAUGAGGAAGAUAGAAAAAUAAUCUAAUUCAUUGCAUAACACUCCUUGCACUUCAUUUAAUUUCCAAAAAAACUCAUUACAGCUAAAAUGAGACUUCUUAGACUAAGUUGUCAAACUUUGACUAAAGGGAUCCUGCAGAUCAUUUGGCUUAAAAGCUUUAUGCUAGAGCUGAGGGAACUGAGCUGAAGUUAUAACGUGUCCUGUUCACAGUUCAACCUAACAAGGAAUGGAGCCAACUCAGUCCUGGAUCCAGAUGCUCUUUUUUCCUCCCAAGACCCUCAAGAGAAGAGCAAGUCCUUCUUCUUUAGAUAGUCAGCACAGAAUUGACAUAUCUCUGAGCUUUCUGGAAUAGCUCUGCGGUCUUUCAUUGUACCAUAAUUUCUUUCACUAUCACCUAGUUGAUGGACAUGAGGAUUGCCUGGAGUUAUUAACUAGUUUAAACAAUGUGGCAAUAAACAAUCUUUUAAAUAGCUGUUUAAAUAUGUCUAACAAAUAUAAAUUGCUUUUCUUUUGGGAAAUGUUA